rnacentral:rRNA from 1 species
UACGAAGGGGGCUAGCGUUGCUCGGAAUCACUGGGCGUAAAGCGCACGUAGGCGGAUUGCUAAGUCAGGGGUGAAAUCCUGGAGCUCAACUCCAGAACUGCCUUUGAUACUGGCGAUCUUGAGUCCGGGAGAGGUGAGUGGAACUGCGAGUGUAGAGGUGAAAUUCGUAGAUAUUCGCAAGAACACCAAUGGCGAAGGCAGCUUGCUGGCAUGUAUCUGACGCUGAGGUACGAAAGCGUGGGGAGCGAACAGG